rnacentral:misc_RNA from 1 species
GAUGAAGAACGCAGCGAAAUGCGAUAAGUAAUGUGAAUUGCAGAAUUCAGUGAAUCAUCGAAUCUUUGAACGCACCUUGGACCCUUUGGUAUUCCGAAGGGUAUGCUCGUUUGAGUGUCAUUGUACUCUCACACUUCUAAUUCCUUUCGGGAUUGGGAGCGGUGGACUUGGGUGUUGCUGCUUUAGUUGUGGCUCACCUCAAAUAAGUUAGUGCAACUCUUGGUUGGACAUAGUACGGCGUGAUAAGUGUCUUCGCCGGCGCCUCUGUAAGGAGGGUGGCCGAUCGGGAGCUCUGUGCUUCAAACCGUCUUCGGACAAUCUUUGACAACUUGACCUCAAAUCGAGUAGGACUACCCGCUGAACUUAAGCAUAUCAAUAAGCGGAGGA